UUGGCGGAGCGGUUGCUGUCA
rnacentral:miRNA from 1 species